GUGAAGAACGUAGCGAAAUGCGAUAACUAAUGUGAAUUGCAGAAUUCAGUGAAUCAUCGAGUCUUUGAACGCACAUUGCGCCCCCUGGUAUUCCGGGGGGCAUGCCUGUCCGAGCGUCAUUGCUGCCCUCAAGCACGGCUUGUGUGUUGGGCUCCGCCCCCCCGGGGACGGGUCCGAAAGGCAGCGGCGGCACCGAGUCCGGUCCUCGAGCGUAUGGGGCUUUGUCACCCGCUCUGUAGGCCCGGCCGGCGCCAGCCGACAACCAAUCAUCCUUUUUUCAGGUUGACCUCGGAUCAGGUAGGGAUACCCGCUGAACUUAAGCAUAUCAAUAAGCGGAGGA
rnacentral:misc_RNA from 1 species